GACGAACGCUGGCGGCGUGUCUAAUACAUGCAAGUCGAACGAGAGCGACCGGUGCUUGCACUGGUCAAUCUAGUGGCGAACGGGUGAGUAACACGUGGGUAACCUGCCCAUCAGAGGGGGAUAACAUCCGGAAACGGAUGCUAAAACCGCAUAGGUCUUCGAACCGCAUGGUUUGAAGAGGAAAAGAGGCGCAAGCUUCUGCUGAUGGAUGGACCCGCGGUGCAUUAGCUAGUUGGUGAGGUAACGGCUCACCAAGGCCGUGAUGCAUAGCCGACCUGAGAGGGUGAUCGGCCACAUUGGGACUGAGACACGGCCCAAACUCCUACGGGAGGCAGCAGUAGGGAAUCUUCCGCAAUGGACGCAAGUCUGACGGAGCAACGCCGCGUGAGUGAAGAAGGUUUUCGGAUCGUAAAACUCUGUUGUUAGAGAAGAACAAGUGCUAGAGUAACUGUUAGCGCCUUGACGGUAUCUAACCAGAAAGCCACGGCUAACUACGUG
rnacentral:rRNA from 1 species